GGGAGAGUCGGCAGCGGGUGCGUAAGCUUCCCCAGGUUGCUCACCCCCGACUGUUCAGUGACAAUUAGCAAAGAAUACGCAACGCGAUCGAGAGUUGAGCGAGUGCUCGCGUGAACCGAAUUGCGCGAUAUAUUGUUCGAAUUUGCAGAUUGACGCACGCGCGAAAGUCAAUUGCGGUGAAAGGGCUGAGUUCUUAUUUACGAGGCGCGCGCAGGGGUGCUUUUCUCCAUGGAUUUGCGACUGCCGCCGUUGAAGAGCGGCAGAUGGGGCGAAAAGCAGAGGAGAGGGAGAAACGCAACAGACGCGAAGCGCGCGUUUCCCGCGCGGCGCACACGUGAGUACAGCGCGAAGGCAACAUAAACGUUGCGUGUUAACGCACGAAACGGGGGAAACGUCAGGUGCCGCACGAUGUUGUGCAUCUUCGCUGAAUUUCACGCCGAGUGAAACGCGUUAGUGUUGCGGAGUGACAUUCGUACGGUCAACGCGAAGAAAGAUUUCGCUUCGACGUUUUGAAAACGCGCUCGGUUUUUUUUUUUUUCGCACGAUGUAAACACGUUUCACGAGUGACGCGAGUGAGAAGAAUCUCGGGAGAGAAAAUAGGCUGUUUUGUGUGCGCAUAUAACCUAUUGUCCGUCGAAUUCAGUAGUUUAUCGCGUCAAGUGUAUCGUUUUCGUAAAUAACGGUCGUGUGCCGAGGUUUAAUAAAGAUAAUCUACACAUCGAGAUAUUGGAAACUUCGUAAUUUCGUGUUUACAUAUUCGUGUUGACCGACGGAACAGAAAGCUGUAAGUGAUUUUCGCCAUAUCUUAUCUCCAAUGUCAAAACAUGGCCUAAGUGAACAGAGUGAAAUGAACGUUAAAAUAACAAAUACGUAUAAUCGCUAUCUUUAUUUUUCGGUACCUGUUUGUAGAGUAAAGUGACUGCAUGUGAUGUUUCAUUAAUUUGGAAAACAAUAAACCUUUUAAUUUCGCUAAGACAAUGCGCAUAUUGAAUACCGUUUAAUAUGUUGCUGUCGCUGCAUCGAGUGCUAUCGAGCGGAAGGUGAAAUAGUCAUACCGGAAAUCGAACGUCGAGUCUUAAUUUCGAGGCAGUUAGACAAACGUCCCGAACGCCAUGGACGAAAUCGAGAGCAUGCAUGUCGACCAGACGCCGCUUGUCUACGUCAACUCUAGUGGAUGCAGAUCCCACGACAGUAUCGACAGCGGCUAUCUGUCUUCUUUCACGCCACAAAACAGCAGCAACAAUUUGAUAGUGACCGGAUGUAGAACGCGAUUGUCCACCGGCGCGCUGAGUAAGAAGCAUUAUAGGUUCCGUCCGGAUCCUAUUCAAUGCGAGAAAGUGCAGAGACGCCGUUCCAAGCACAAUUAUUUGCCAAACGCCUCGGAGUCCUCCGAUUACCUUGUUUCCGAAAAUUCCAUCGAACAAGAUUCUGUGCUGGAUCCGUCGUAUACGAGCGAUAAUCAACGUCUCAUAGUGCACUCCACUCCGAGUUGCAUCAUCCACAAUGAAUUUGACGAAAUUCACGGAAAUAAGAGAAGCUGGCAAACCACGGUGCCUAUUACUCCUGCGUCGACGGACCUGCGAUUUCUGUCGCCACCUCCGUCGCCAACAGUGCCGACCUCAUCUUACGUAGCCUCUGAACCCAUCCAAGAAGAUGUGGAAAUGAAGCUAGUCGAACCUACGUUGGAGAGUAAAUCACAAAUCACAACACCGCCGAGACUGAAAGUCUCAGUACCACGGAUUAUAAUCUCGCCGGUUCGCAGGAGAAACAGCCCCGCCAUAACGUCGGUCGAGAAUCGGAAGCUGAGUGAGCUAUGUAUUACAGAUUUGGCUGCCGAUAUUAAACCGAAAAAGUUGAAUUUCGAUCGCAGCUCGUUUAUAGCACUAUGGAACAACAACAGAGUUGCUUUGAGCUAUAUUGCGAAGGAAAAGGUGGACUUUUUAUCACUUCUUGGAGAAGAAAGCAAUCACCUGAAUGUAGUGUCGAAAAUUCUCUCCUAUCUCAGUCCUCGAGAUCUGUGUUCCAUCAGUAUGGUGUCCACAACAUGGAAGAAGAUCUGCGAGAGGGAUUUUUGCGCCAACAGGAGAAGAAUGAAUUACAUCCUGUGCAAGCAGAACAUCAAGGAAAAUUUGAAGAUUGUGACGAAAAAGGCGAAGCGUGAGGAGGAUAUACAGAUGAGUCCUAAGAGCAGAUACCAUUUCAGAAAAGGAUGCCUGAUGGAUGUGCAGAAUGUACUGCGUGUUCCGGAACAGCAGCGACCACCGAACAGUCCACCUGUAUCGCCGAGCAAAGUCAAAUUCCACUGCUUCAUCAAAGCUAGUCGUGCACUCGCAAGUGGCGAACAUCUCUUACCGUGUCCGAGAUGCACGUUUCCCUGUCACGUGGACAAUGAAAAAAAUGUGGGAACCUGCUCGAGACAGGGCUGCUCUAUCGAAUUCUGCAGCUCCUGCUCGUCGAAGCCGCACACGGGCCCGUGUAAAACGCCCUUAUUGGCCACCCCAACGAAACGGAACAACAAGCGUCUGAUCGUCGGCUCGAGGCAGAGCAAACGGAAUCUGCGACGAUUAUAAGCUGAACCUCUCGAGUUCUACAUUUCCGAUCGUCCGUAGGAGAACUAGUCUAGUUACAGAGUCGCGUCCGGUUCUACCAAGAGGAAGAUGUACAUUUAUAGAUGAGAUCGGCUAAAUGCCAAAGUGUGGCUUAAAUCUUCCGAAACGAUGGUGGCGAAUGUGCAACCGAAUCUUGCUCGAGCCCUCCCCCUCGUCUUCAUCGUCAUUUUCAGAGCAACGGAGUAAAGUUUGUUCUGGGCGAUGCAACGGGCGGGAGAGAAGAAGGAGAGAGAUAGAAGGGGCAAAAGAACAAGAGAUUGGCAGUUAAAGGAGUACCUGCGAGGUGCAGAGAAAAGGAUAGGACGAGCAUGCGAGACAGGGUGGAGGAGAAAUGAGAAACCAUAAAGGCAACGGUCGUAAAACCCCGUAAGGGACCGGCGAAACACUUUGCGUUGCCCGGAUAUUCCGCUUUUUACCGAACGCGUUCGGCCUCUUAAUGAAGCCGGGGAGAGAAGCUCGCGUAUGUUCGUACAGCCAGAGCCCGUCCGCAGAAACUGCUCGCUCUCCCGCGAGAAUCGCCUCGUAAAACACAACUGCCAAGACGGUCACGACAUAUGAUCUCGACGACCCUUGGAACGAGGCGAUUCUCAUUUAUCUAACCGCUCGUUACUCUCUAACAUCUUUCGCAUGAUAUUAGAAAUGUAGGAAAUGUCAGAAGUUUUAAUCUUGUUUCUUCUUCAACCGUGCAAAAUUAGGAUUGCUCAAAAAGUAUUGAAAUUACAUAGCAAUAAAAGAAAUAUAGAUAGGUGCAAACAUGUAAAAAAUGAAAAAAAGCAUAAUGGUAGAGUAGAACAUAAGAAUGACGUCGAAAAAGCGCACACGAUGUAAUAACAUAUCCAUUGGUCCAUAAAGUAAAACGAAAUGUAAGAAGCAGUUGAAUUAUUUUUUUUUGUUGAUUAUUAUAAAUUAUUAUAUAAUUGAAUAUAUAAUUAUUAUAUAAUCGAUAAAA
rnacentral:misc_RNA from 1 species